UGGGGAAUUUUGGACAAUGGGCGAAAGCCUGAUCCAGCCAUGCCGCGUGAGUGACGAAGGCCUUAGGGUUGUAAAACUCUUUCGUCGGGGACGAUAAUGACGGUACCCGAAGAAGAAGCUCCGGCUAACUUCGUGCCAGCAGCCGCGGUAAUACGAAGGGAGCUAGCGUUGUUCGGAAUCACUGGGCGUAAAGCGCACGUAGGCGGAUAGUUAAGUCAGGGGUGAAAUCCUGGGGCUCAACCCCAGAACUGCCUUUGAUACUGGCUGUCUCGAGGUCGAGAGAGGUUGGUGGAAUUCCUAGUGUAGAGGUGAAAUUCGUAGAUAUUAGGAAGAACACCGGUGGCGAAGGCGGCUCACUGGAUCGGUACUGACGCUGAGGUGCGAAAGCGUGGGGAGCAAACAGGAUUAGAUACCCUAGUAGUCCCUGAGCGGGCUGGCAAGGCGCAU
rnacentral:rRNA from 1 species